rnacentral:lncRNA from 1 species
AAAGGCAAUAUUCAUUUGAAAGAUAUAGCUCUCUUCCACGAAAUCAUAUAGUCAUAUUUACUCAUAUUUAUAUAUAAUAUACAUGGGCCCUUUUCAAAAAAAUAUAUAUAUAUAAAAUACAUGGGCAAAUAUAAUAUACAUUUGCUGAGAUGAUUCAUAUCUCAAACUGAGGAAACUUAAUGACAUUUGAGAAAGAAAUUGAAAACAGUAUAUGAUUUCCACGUAUGGAAUGAAACCGACGUAGAAAAUAAUGCCUUCUCAACGAACGAAAGUGUAGAGAGAUUUGUGAAAAGGUGAAAAAGUGAGGGAUUUGGAGGUGAAAAAUGGAACAUGUAACUCAAAGGACCCAUCCGAUCCGCUUCGCUCCCCUUUUCUCCUCCAUCAGGAUCCAGACCCUCAAUCAAUUACCAUCAGCUUCAAGCUCCUCUAUCUCGAGUCUCGACCACCGCCGGCUAUUGCUUUUGUUUCGCGGAGCAUACCUUUGAAAAAAUAGAAUAGUUUAAGAAGUGGGAUUUAAGAGAUAUGUCGUUGAAAUAAUAUCUUUGAAAAAAUAAUGGUUGGAGAAAGGCAGUUUGAUACAACGACUUUAAUUGGUUGAGAGAUGUAGGGAGAUACAACGACUUCAAUAGUUUUUUAAAAUUUAUUUUUAAUAAUUUUUUAAAUAUAUUUAUUUAUUUAUUUAUUUGAGUUUGUGAACGG